rnacentral:rRNA from 2 species
CUUAAAUUGAAGAGUUUGAUCAUGGCUCAGAUUGAACGCUGGCGGCAGGCCUAACACAUG